UAAAGUUGCGCCAAGUUUACGCGCUCAGCUUUCUUACACAUGUUUUAAUUAGCAAAAGUUUGAACGUUAAAGUACGACUGCUUGUUACAUGAUUGAUGACAGCCUACUACAGAAAGAAUAUUUAGACAUCAGACCUGUAAAAAAAUAGUGGUAUUACGCCUGAGGCAAAAUAUUUCGUUGAAAAUCAGUUGUUUCCCCUUCGCUAUGGAUGUUUCCGGUUUCGGAUUUUAACAGUAAAACGGGGAAGCCAGUGAAGUUUACUUUUGUUUAACUACCUUUUGUUCAACGAUGAAGGGAUCUGAGACUUGUAAUACUGUUUACUGAUUUGAUGAUAUUCCUUGUUCCUUUGAUGGUUCAUUCCACUAUACAGCUGGUUCAUAUAAUAUAUAACAGCCAGGAAAUUGGCCUGUUUACUUUAAGAUCCCAAGAAAAUGUAACAUAUUUUGGAUGUGCUUUGAGGAAUCAGGAAUGCAAGUGUUUCCUCUUGUUUAUGAAGCAACCCAGUUGGUUAAGGGGCAGACAACUUGUGAGCAUGGUAAAUCACUACCUGUAUUGGUAUUCCAUUUUGACAAUGUUACUAGCUAGAUGGAAAUAACAUUUUGCUGUGGUACAGUCUGUGGAGACUUUUACUAGGAUAUCACAGAUCGAUUGAAUAUUCAACAAUGAUCACAGACCAUGCAAAGUUUGAAUCUGACUUGCACUUUUGAAUUUAGAAGAAUCUGUGGAGGAGGGUGAAUGCUGAGACCUUAAAUAAUACAUGAUAUUGCUGACACAGUGUGUCAGUCAUGAAAGAAAGGCCAUAACACUGCACAGUUGGUCAACAAUGAUUUAAAUCCUGUCACAUUCUACCAGUGAAGAAAUAUCUUAUCACAAUAUUUUAAACUUUUGAAGAAGAUAACCCGGUAUUACCACUUUAUCAUGUCUGCAGAAACACCUGGAUUGUUAGUGUUAAAAGUGAC